rnacentral:lncRNA from 1 species
UCUUUAUAUGUAGUUUUGACUCCUUAUGCAACGUUACGCGAUCAGGAUUCAGGAGGGUACAACCUGUAGUCUACAUAAUGAGAAAUUAGAGGAAAACAAAUCAUAUGUGAUUGCAAAAUGUGAGAAUAAUUAGCCAAGGAGCUUAUUCUUGGACGACACAAUGGCGAGGGAGCAUGCCGGCGCUAAUUAUCACACAUCCAUUCAAGGUGCGGUUUAUGAUUCCCACUUCAGUAUGUUUAACUUAUCAUUGUUAACCUGAAACAAACAACACACCUCGAUUUCUUGCAUGGCUAACUGUGAUGCCUGGUGCUUCAGACGCAACGGCGAUUGUACUCUAGCAAAUAAAGAGUGUUUUGUUAUUUCGUCAUGCACCUGAAGUCUGAACAUUGUUUUAUGUAAUGGAAUAGCAUUGUUUUCAACGAGUAGUGAGUCAAACAAUUAAAUUUAAAGUUUCUUCGGAUUGUGCAUGGAACUCUUCUGACGGAUACUACACGAGGAUGGAAGUUAUACUCGCAGAUACUCAUACUGCUGCAGAAGUGGCUGCAGCUUGUCUCCUUGUUCAACAGAAAGCGCUGUAUUAAUUUUCAAAAAGAAAAACAUAGAAGGGUAGUAAUAGUGUCUAGAUGACCAAAAAUGUGCUUAAUCUUUAAUGCUUUUCUACGUGUAUGUGACACAGCUUGAUCAAACAUAUAUUCUUAAAAUAAAA